GCCUGAUAAAAAUACACGAGCAAGUAUAACAAGAGUUGUCUAGUAAAAUAACAGUCUCGCAAUCAGAUACAGCGUACCUAAGGCAAAAUGACAAGGCAAAGGUCGACCAAGUCUUUUCAGUGUUGUCAUUUCAUCAUUUGUCAAUUUAGGUUUUACUCCAUAUGGAAGUAGAGCGUACCUAAUGCAAAAUGGCAAGGCAAAGGUCGACCAAGUCUUUUCAGUGUUGUCAUUUCAUCAUUUGUCAAUUUAGGUUUUACUCCGUAUGGAAGUAGGCGGAAAGGUUUCUUGUACCCAGGGACAACAGCUGACAGAAGAUCUGCAUCGAUAGGCAAUGGCUCAUAACCCCACCAAUCAGUAAAGCGAGGACCAA
rnacentral:lncRNA from 1 species